UACGUAGGGCGCAAGCGUUGUCCGGAAUUAUUGGGCGUAAAGAGCUCGUAGGCGGCCUGUCGCGUCCGUUGUGAAAACUCGAGGCUCAACCUCGGGCUUGCAGUGGAUACGGGCAGACUAGAGUACUGCAGGGGAGACUGGAAUUCCUGGUGUAGCGGUGGAAUGCGCAGAUAUCAGGAGGAACACCGGUGGCGAAGGCGGGUCUCUGGGCAGUAACUGACGCUGAGGAGCGAAAGCGUGGGGAGCGAACAGG
rnacentral:rRNA from 1 species